UGGGGAAUUUUUCGCAAUGGGGGAAACCCUGACGAAGCAACGCCGCGCGGAGGAUGAAGGCCUUCGGGUCGUAAACUCCUGUCGACCGGGACGAACGCUAUUGGGCCCAAUACGCCCGAUAGUCGACUGUACCGGUGGAGGAAGCCACGGCUAACUCUGUGCCAGCAGCCGCGGUAAUACAGAGGUGGCAAGCGUUGUUCGGAAUUACUGGGCGUAAAGGGCGCGUAGGCGGUCCUGUCAGUCCCUUGCGAAAUCCCCCGGCCCAACUGGGGAACUGCAAGGGAUACAGCAGGGCUUGAGUUCGGGAGAGGGAAGCGGAAUUCCGGGUGUAGCGGUGAAAUGCGUAGAUAUCCGGAGGAACACCGGUGGCGAAGGCGGUUUCCUGGACCGAUACUGACGCUGAGGCGCGAAAGUGCGGGGAUCAAACAGGAUUAGAUACCCGAGUAGUCCCUGAGCGGGCUGGCAAGGCGCAU
rnacentral:rRNA from 1 species